UUCCAUUCUUAAAACACACUUCAUUGUUGCAAGUCGUGUAUGAAUUUCGUACGGAAUAAAAAUAAUUCGAUAAUUAGUAUGCUGUUGUUGGGUUUUUAACUUGUUGUAAAGGGUUUUGAUUUGAUUCAAGUCAUUUGCUUUGUGAUUCUCGUACACAUACAGGGGAAGAAGAAGAUGGAUUGGAAGAAGAAGAUGUCACACUAGUGGAAAACGGGUUUUUAACCACUUCUUGGGCUUCACUGAAACGACUGUUGCUGGGCUGUAAUAAUUUUUGGUGCUGUGGCGAACAAUUGUUUUAUUUAAACUUGUUUCGUUCACAGUAGUUUUAGAGAUAAGUUUUUUUCUAAAAACACGAGCUCCCUAAUAGGUUUUUGUAGAGUUAUAAAACCACUAUGAGAGAAAGAACUUUCUAUAACAAACCUUUUUAAAAUUCUAUUUGUCCUCCUUUCUCUUAUCGUUUUAACCUGCUCAAUUCCUAGAUGCGCCCCUCUCUUCUCCAUUAUUCAUAUCCUCAUUGAAUCCAGAAACUAAAAAAGAAUCAGAAGUAAUCACUUCAAUCUUUGCUACUAAACCCAAACCCCUUUCUCAUCUUCUUAAUCUUCUCCAAAAAGCCCAAAUUUAAACUGAAAGAUAACAACAACGAUUUGUUUGUAAUUAAACAAAUCCCUUACAUCGCGCAGCUUGUACCAAGAAAUAAAACUGGUCGAUCUAAAUCGAUUGGGUAUGUCGAGGGUCUUACCAAGGUUGAUGAAAAACUGAUCACAUGGAUAAACAGUCAAAGAAAAAACAGAAGGGGGUCUGGACUAUAUGGGUGAUAUUCAAUUGGAACGACCUAAAGUCUGCAGGGGUGAAUCAAGAGUUGGAAUGGCUAAAGAAAUUAAAAUCAGGAGAAAAAGCUCCAUCUGUACAAUUAAAACCGGGUUCCUUACUUCUCUUAGCAUUUCUAGAAUCUUAAAUGAGUACUUUAUCGUUCAGAGUGAAGUCUGUGUUGUUUCUGUUGUAUAGAUAAUUAGUGAUGAGAUACUUUUGCUAUGUAGAAGAGGAAGCUAGCUGGCAGGUUAGGAUCUUGGUGGAGCAAGGAAGAGCUUACAUGCUUUUAUGAAGACUAUGGGAAAGACUAAAAAAAGGCAUAAUUAUCUCUUCCAAAAGUGACGGCAUCAGUAAAUGGGUUAACAACAAGGAUGACAGACCAUUACAAUAUUAUGGAUGGAAUGAUGGAUCUGCGAUUGGGUCAGGGUCGAAGGCCUAA